CUUGGAUUCAAAUGUGUUUGCAAUCAUGGAUACGAAGGGGACGGAGUUGAUUGUAUCAAGAAGUGUGGGGCAAAUGCCCUGUGUAUUCAUUUAAACACGUCUCAAAUAUUGCCUCCUGAUCAGUGCAUUGAAGCUAUGGGCCGCAAAUGUGUUUGCAAUCAAGGUUAUGAAGGGGACGGAUUUACUUGCAACAGGACCACUGUAUAAACUUUCCUAAAAUCAAUAUCAUGAAGUUAUUGCUAAAAAAGGAAACUAGAGCUGUAUUAUUAUCUAGAAUCACAGAUAGAAGAAAGAUUUAUUUACAGAAACAUUGAAUUUAGUGUAUGAAUUUUGUGUCAUACAGAUGAAAAUAAAACAUUGAUGGCAUUGCAUUUGGUACUUUUUUAUGUUCUUAUAUUGUCAACAGAGAUAAAGGGCUACUCAAUUGGACUUUUUUACCAAAAUAAAUUUUUCUGGGUAAAGAGCAAGGCCUGUCCUAGCAUUUGGAUUCAAUGUUUUAUUCCAUUAAUUGAAGACUUUAAUUAAAAUGACUAAGCAGUCAUAAUGAAUGACAUUUGUGGUCACAAGCAUUGCCUUCUUUUCACACAAGAAAAUGAGGAGUAGUUUUGAAUAGCGUCCUUGCGCCAUGUUUAAUAGAGAUGUUGCAAGUUAGCAAUGGGUACUCAUGGAGGCAGAGAAGAUAAUAAUGACACAAUGACCCUUAUUUAAGGGGUCUCUGUUGUCUUGGGGUCUCUAUAGUCUGAAUUGAGGAAACAUAAAAAGCUUACAAG